rnacentral:rRNA from 1 species
AGCUCCAACAGCGUAUAUUAAAAUUGUUGCGGUUAAAACGCUCGUAGUCGAAUUCUUGCUAGGUGGCUCCGGUGCUUCCCAGUGAAGUGUACGCGGUAACCUCCUGUGCUAUUACUUGGGGAAGGUGCAUAUGCUUCAGUGCAUGUCACACUACCCAAGUCCUUACUUUGAGGAAAUGAGUGUGUUUCAAGCAGGCGCAAGCCUUGAAUAUGAUAGCAUGGAAUAACAGUAUGAGACCUCCUUCCAAAGUUGUUGGUUCUUUGGAAUUAGGGAAUGGAAAAAUGGAUAGUUGGGGGUAUUCGUAUUUAACUGUCAGAGGUGAAAUUCUUGGAUUUUUUAAAGACAAACAAUUGCGAAGGCAUUUACCCAGGAUGUUCUCAUUGAUCAAGAACGAAAGUAC